UACGGGGGGGGCAAGCGUUGUUCGGAAUUAUUGGGCGUAAAGAGCUCGUAGGCGGUUUGUCGCGUCUGCUGUGAAAUCCCGAGGCUCAACCUCGGGUCUGCAGUGGGUACGGGCAGGCUAGAGUGCGGUAGGGGAGAAUGGAACUCCUGGUGUAGCGGUGGAAUGCGCAGAUAUCAGGAAGAACACCGAUGGCGAAGGCAGUUCUCUGGGCCGUAACUGACGCUGAGGAGCGAAAGCGUGGGGAGCGAACAGG
rnacentral:rRNA from 1 species